rnacentral:rRNA from 1 species
AUUGAACGCUGGCGGCAGGCCUUACACAUGCAAGUCGAGCGAGCGGCGGACGGGUGAGUAAUGUAUGGGGAUCUGCCCGAUAGAGGGGGCUAACUACUGGAAACGGUAGCUAAUACCGCAUACUAUCGGAUGUACCCAUAUGGGAUUAGCUAGUAGGUGAGGUAAUGGCUCACCUAGGCGACGAUCCCUAGCUGGUCUGAGAGGAUGAUCAGCAACACGGGGACGGAGACACGGCGCAGACGCCUACGGGAGGCAGCAGUGGGGAAUAGGGGACAAUGGGGGGAAGCCUGAUGCAGACAUGCCGCGUGUAUGAAGAAGGCCGUCGGGGUGUAAAGUACUUUCAGCGGGGAGGCGGUACCCGAAGAAGAAGCACCGGCUAACUCCGUGCCAGCAGCCGCGGUAAUAC